CCUACGGGUGGCAGCAGUGGGGAAUAUUGCACAAUGGGGGAAACCCUGAUGCAGCGACGCCGCGUGAAGGAAGAAGUAUUUCGGUAUGUAAACUUCUAUCAGAAGGGAAGAAAAUGACGGUACCUGACUAAGAAGCACCGGCUAACUACGUGCCAGCAGCCGCGGUAAUACGGAGGGUGCAAGCGUUAUCCGGAUUUACUGGGUGUAAAGGGAGCGUAGGCGGUUUAGCAAGUCAGAAGUGAAAGCCCGUGGCUCAACUACAGGACUGCUUUUGAAACUGUUGAACUAGAGUGCGGGAGAGGUAAGUGGAAUUCCUAGUGUAGCGGUAAAAUGCGUAGAUAUUAGGAGGAACACCCAUGGCGAAGGCGGCUUACUGGACUGUAAAUGACGCUGAUGCUCGAAAGCGUGGGGAGCAAACAGGAUUAGAUACCCGAGUAGUC
rnacentral:rRNA from 1 species